AGUCGGUGCUUUUUUUAUAAAAGCCGUGUUCUCUUGGUUUGGCAAGAACAGAACACGCCGAGUAACCCCAGCCCGUGAUCUCCGACACAUACAGUCUCCGCCGGCUUCAAUCAUGUCUGGAUUCUUAGAUCAAGCCCAGCAGAAGGCACAGGAUUCAGUAAAGCAAGGUGAACAGGUGGUCCAAGACUGUGUGGACAAAGGGAAGCAAAUAGGACAGCAAGUUAUCGACCAAGGCUGCCAAGCCGCUCAGAAGACAUGCGAUGAUGUCACCGGGCAAGUGACAUCGCAGGUCAAAGAUACGCUCCCCGGAGGAUGGACGAAAUGAGCUGCGGUCUACUUUCAAUCAUCAUGAUGGAGAUUUUCUCUUUACAAUAAACAGAAUAAACUAUUGGUAA